AGAGUUUGAUCAUGGCUCAGAUUGAACGCUGGCGGCAUGCCUAACACAUGCAAGUCGAACGGCAGCACAGUUUGUAGCAAUACAAAUGGGUGGCGAGUGGCGGACGGGUGAGUAAUACGUAGGGAUCUGCCUUUUAGAGGGGGAUAACCCGGGGAAACUCGGGCUAAUACCACAUGAUCUCGAGAGAGCAAAGGGAGGGGAUCCGUAAGGACCUUUCGCUGAAAGAUGAACCUACGUCGGAUUAGCUAGUUGGUAGGGUAACGGCCUACCAAGGCAACGAUCCGUAGCUGGUCUAAGAGGACGAACAGCCACACUGGGACUGAGACACGGCCCAGACUCCUACGGGAGGCAGCAGUGGGGAAUAUUGGACAAUGGGGGCAACCCUGAUCCAGCAAUGCCGCGUGUGUGAAGAAGGCCUGCGGGUUGUAAAGCACUUUAGGUGGGGAGGAAAGGUAAGGCGAUAACAUCGUUUUACUGUGACGUCACCCACAGAAUAAGCACCGGCUAACUCUGUGCCAGCAGCCGCGGUAAUACAGAGGGUGCAAGCGUUAAUCGGAAUUACUGGGCGUAAAGGGUGCGUAGGUGGUUGACUAAGUGAGGUGUGAAAGUCCCGGGCUUAACCUGGGGAGGUCAUUUCAUACUGGUUGACUUGAGUAGGGUAGAGGGAGGUGGAAUUUCCGGCGUAGCGGUGAAAUGCGUAGAUUUCGGAAGGAACACCGGUGGCGAAGGCGGCCUCCUGGACCCAUACUGACACUGAGGCACGAAAGCGUGGGUAGCAAACAGGAUUAGAUACCCUAGUAGUCC
rnacentral:rRNA from 1 species